UUUUGUCUAAUUUCAGGGACGACACGAAAGAAAUCUUUCGAUGAAUUUACGAAUUUUAACAUAUGUGCGAUGUAAAUCUAAAUCUAAAAGUACAUCCUUUUGGAAAAUAAAGGGAGAAUUUUCGUGGAGGAUUUUUUUCAACAUGGUGGAAAAUAAUCGAGACGCUUAAGUGCAGAGGAAUUCGACCUAUUUGAAGGAAUAUCAACGCUCUAAUUGGGAAAUCCUUUUUCCUAAUUGGGAAAUCCAACUGUCGCGAGGAUCCAUCACCUGGUCGAGCAGGAAGGAGCAAUCCUCGUGUGACAAUCCCCGUUUCCGGCCAGUCAUCCGGAAGUUUUAGAGGAGGGGAGGAAGGGGUUGUUUGUCCAAACCGCCGGAAUUCGAGCUGUAAAUAUAGUUUGGGAGGGAGUGACGAGGGCGCGAACGAGGGAGAAAUUCGAUUUUGCCUCGCGGAAUCUGCGGUCGGCAGAGGUGUUCCGCAGGAACGUAACGACGACAAAGCGUGGAAACCACGCGUGCCAUCUCGGCAAUCCGGCUGUCCUAACUAGGAGGCCGAUAAAUGGACGGCUUGAUGACUUGAUAAUUUAUGGGGAGGAGACGGUGAGAGGAGGUUGGUUUAAUUAAUCUUUCUGAAGGGGUUGUAAGUAAUUGAACGAGUUAAGUUUUAAGAUAUUUUUGGAAAUAUUUUUUUAUUGGAAAUUACGUUGUAGCCUCGUAUUAUAGUUUCGUAUGAGAAAUUCCUGUUGUUAAUCGAUCGAUAUUUGGAUUAUCGAUUUAUUAUUAAAAGAAAGAUUUAAUAUUCGAGAGUGAGAUAUUACAGUAAAAUUUCAUGGAAAGGAUUUGGAAGAGUUGUAUCGAACGAGUUAAGUUUUAAGAUAUUUUUGGAAAUAUUUUUUUAUUGGAAAUUACGUUGUAGUCUCGUUUCUUGUAUGGGAUCUGGUUGUUAAUCGAACAAUAGUUGGAUUAUCGAUUAAUUAUUAAAAGAAAGAUUUAAUAUUCGUUUGAUAUUCGAGAGUGAGAUAUUACAGUAAAAUUUCAUGGAAAGGAUUUGGAAGAGUUGUAUAAUAAUUUUUCUAAACUAAUUCGUAAGGAAAUCAGUCAGGAUCCAAGGAUCUUUAAACUUGUUAAGCCGCAGUCGUACGUAUUCUACCGAAAAUAUUCCAUUAGAAAGAAACUUUCACGGGCACUUUAAUUUUGAAGGAAACUCGAGAGAAACAUGUGCUAGUCGUGCGCCUGAGGAUAUAUAAAUGAAGAGAAACAAUUUUUCAGAAGAAUUAUUAGAAUAGAGGUGGAAAGAUUGUUUAAAAGUUUAAUAGAAACAUAUAUUUUUUUUCAGUGUGAUUGAAGAACGAAGAAAUAUAAUAAAAAUUUCAAAACAGAAAAUGACAAUUAGAUUGUACGAAUGAAGAGUGGAAAAUAAUUUCGUAGCUUUAUGAAAACUUUACUAAAAGAAGAAAAAAAAAAGAGGAGGAGGAAAUAUGCAUGCGGUAUAAAAUAUUCAAAUAAAGAAAACAGUGGAAGAGUGAAGGAUACUCUUAUUUUUAAUUGUAAUUGUAUAAAAAAAAAAUGAAGAAAGUUUUUUUUCAGAACAAGAUGGAAUUAAAAAUUCCCUUAUAACUCUAUCCAAACAAAAGAAAGGUACAUCAAGUAUCGAAUACCCAAAAUGAAGAAACCUUCGCAAUGGAAUUCUAAAGAUAUAUCCACAAUUUGCGAAAAAGUAUCAAGAAUCAAUAAAUAAAUCGAGAAAUAGAUCCAAAAGAAAAAAAUUGAACCUGUCUUCAAAACUUCAAAAUUCCAAUAGAUUAUAAAAAUUCAAUUUUCAACCCCCCAUCUAAAAGCAAAACUAACUUCAACCUCAAAAAGAGGAAAAGAAAAAGAAACAAAAUUAAAUGGAGAAAGAAAAAUUCCUCUAAAAAAAGAAGAAGAAGAAGAAGAAGAAGAAGAAUCUCAAAAGAGGCAUGAAAAUUCGAUUUCUAAACAACGGAACGCAAUCAAGGCGUUCCAGUUUAUCCAUUAUUGCCAACAGAGAAAUACACUCGUCCCCUAUGUCGAGUUAUCUCUUAACAAAUUCUUUGCCCCCGCCUCGAGAUAUCCUUUUUUUAUUUUGCCUUUUCAUCCAUCGUUCACGCAUUGUUUCCACCAUCAUCGCCAGAUACCCGAUCGCGUAAUCAGCGCGUCGAACCCCGUACAAUAAGACAAUGCAAUCCUCCUCUCUCUCUCUCUCUCUCUCCUCUUCCUCUUUAUCCUCUUUCCAUGCUUUUUCUUUUCUUUUUCUCUUCCUCUAUUUUUUUAUCGAGAGGAGAAAAAAAGGCUCACGUUCCACGAAUUAAGUUACGUUUCGAUUUAAUCAUCGGGAUUGAAGUUUCCUUCGAAGAAAGAUCGAUUCGAAUCUUUCGUAUUUUUCGCGCCAAAUUGGACAUGGAUAUAUUAUUGUGAACAAUUUCUUUUAUCUUUUUUUUUUUUUAUUUGGAUCGUCAUGGAGAAUCGUCCAAGAAAACGGAGGACUUUUAUCGAGUUUCGAGGGCCUUCGAUUGAACGAACCGACGAUGGCCUAUUUUUAUUUCCGCAAUUUCGGCGCUUUGGGGUGAGAGAGAAGGAAAGAGAGAGAGAAAUUGAGCGAAUUUUCGAUGAUCGAGACUCGGAGGAAUUUGUGUUGCAACAUGGACAAACAUUCGGCAAACUGAAGUUGUAAGGAAAGUUUACAGAAAAGGAUUUUCAAUUUCAUUUAGGAGGAUAAAUAUUUCUCUACUUAACAGAGAAUUUCAUGUAAGAUUUUCGAAGGAGGAACGCUUGAUAUUUGCACGAGAUAUAAACGAGAUGAAAAGACUCUUAACUUUAUUCUUAUAAUCAAACCAAGCUGAAUUUGUCUCGAUCCACGAUGUGAAUAACAAAUCAAGCUUUAUAAACAUUAAAACAAGAAGUGGAAAAAGAAAAAAAGUUAAUGGAUCUGUUAAAUUUAUCUCGAUCCAUCCACGUGAUCGCGAGUUCCAUCAAUUUAUCGAGCCUAACCCCGCUUGUCAUCGCCAUUACCAAUUCCCCUCCCUCCCCCCUUUUCCUCAAUCACUUCCUCCAACGAACCCAUUAACCACGCCUCCCAACCCAAAUUCCCAUUAUUCAAUUCAACGCGAGUGAAAUUACUUUCCAUCCAUUGUUUCACCUCCCAAAAUAUUCACUUCGUUUCCCUCCCUUCCCUCCUCUUCACGAAACUAUCGAAUUUCGCGGGAAAUUCGAACGAGAAGCUCGCCGCUCAAACAUGGAAACGCUUUUUCGAAUACAUCGACGAGAUUAUAAACUCGAGCACCUUCGAAUGACCACAGACACAUUUUGAAUGAACAGCCAUUAAGGGGAAAUUGAACCUCUUCUCGGUAAACAGGAGUGUAAUAAUUAUUUUUAAAGGAAACUAGAUGAAUGCCGUGCCGAGUUUUCUGGUCGAAGAAUUAAUCCUCCAUUAGGAGGGAGGGAUUUGUGGAUUUCUGUGGCGUAAUUUCUUCGUUGCAGCAAGGAGUAAAGCGCAAGUGGAAAUUUUCGUUCUUGGAAUUGAAGGGAUUUUAAUAAUAAAAAUUGGUAAUGGGAUAAAAAAAAUUCAGAGAGAUAUGUAAAUAAAGUGUUGUUGGUCAAGUAAGACGAGUAACAUGAUAAAUAGUCGUAUUGAGAGUAGAAAUGGAGGAGGAUGGAUAAGUAGAAGAAGGGGAGAAUUGGCAAAUAGAAUAAAAUAAUCAUGAGUCAAGUGGAGGCAAUUUGUCAAACAAGCUAAAGAAAAGAUGGUUGAAAAGAUAGAAAAAAAAGAAUAAAUAAACGGCACUGUUAAUUGCAAUGGAAUUGAUAUGUUGAAUUAGAUUAGAAGAGUUUCGAAAAACUUUUGUCGUAUAGAUAUUUGUUAUAAUAUAGAAAAUCUUUUAAUUAAUCGAAUGGUGAAGUUUUUUGGAAUGAAAGAGGUUCUAAAAAGUGUGUAGCUUCGACGAUUAUUCAAUUAUGUUUCUUCACACUGCUACGAUUUAUGGGAAGAAUAUAGGCAAGAAGAUUGUGAAAUCGAGCAAUCGAGAUGUUCAAGGAUGGUUGACGACCUUGACGUUGCAUUAUUUCAAAGAAUAGAAAUUUAUUCUUAGAGAACUGACGUAGAAUCGACGAUAUUUACUCCACAACCUUUGGAUUCGUGAACAAAAUAUUUUUUAACACAAUCUUCUCCUCGAAUUCAAUUUCGAUUAUAAAUUUCCUAAACGAUCGUGAAUAUUAUAUAAAGUCCAUCCAUUUACAAAAAAAAGAGUAAGAAAAAUUCACAGAACGAAAGAAUGAUAAUUCAUUUCUGUUAAACCACAAGCAACCCUUCAAAAAAUCUACAAAAAUACAAAAUUCACGUGACAAGAAAAUAAUAAAAAUUUUCCCGAUGAUUCGACCACGAGUAAUCUUCAAAAAACUACCAUAAAAUUACAAUCUCCACUCAUCGCAAUAAUCAAAAUAUUCGAUCGAAAAACCAGAGAAGAAGAACAUAAAAAUGGAAACACUCGCUCUGACAAAUCAGACAAAAUCCACUUGCCAAUUUCAAGGCUCAAUCACAAUAAUUUUUCCACAUACUUAGCAACAGUUAAACGUCUUUAGACGUCUUAGACUAAGGUGGACGGAAAAUCCACGCGAGACGAUCUCGUAAUUAAGGGGUUGAACGGUAUUAAAAUCGGCGAAAAGGGGUUGUACAUAGAGCGAGAGCCUUUAGAAAUUUCUCUCGAUCCUCUCGGAUCCUUCUCUCCUCGACAAGUUUGGCCGCUCGUUACUCGAGCCGAGCCAUUAACCUUUGAAAAGAAAUCCUCCUCGGUCUUUUCUUCCCUCCCCCGUACUUCCGGAUAAUCCUCUCCUUUCGAGGGGUCUCCCCCGAAAAUUUGAAAGUCGACGACCCGUUUUAGAUUUUCUUCUCCAUUUUUUUUUUUUCUUUCGCUCCAUUUCGAUCUUGAUUCUGUUUGGUCGGACGAGAUGGAGUGGAACUAUUUUGCAGAAACGGUUCUCGAAUAAUUGUGGUUGAAGGGUAAGAAGAUUUGGCGGAGAGAUUCUGGUACGGUGGGCUGUGUUUUACGAGACGGUUUAACGAGUGGGGAGAAACCGUUUAACUCGUCGCGUUUGGCGGUGUGUAUCGUUUAAUUGUAAAUUGUGGGCAACUCUAUUGGGAGAUAAAUGAAGUUCAAAUGGAACGCUGAUGGCGCUAAUGAACGUGUACUAGGUUUCUGGGAUUUCGAAUUCUGUUGUUGAUUAUAACACUUCUUUUUUAUCAAAAAAUAUUGUUGGAUAUACUUACGACGUUCACAAUUCGUUCACGAUAAUACGUAUAUCGUUAAUCAGAAUAUUAUAACUUUUUAAACACAAAAGAAUUCAACCAAGAAGAUGAAAAAUCAAAAAGAUAAAAAUUAAACACAAUCCACCCUUACCUCCCCCCCAAAAAAAAGAAUCUCAAAUAAUCACCUUCACCUAAUUAUUCCAUCCCUGUCUCACCCCGCAGCAUCAUUAAGAAUGCAAACCCGGCACGGAAUCUCGGGAACAUCAGCAGCGUGAAAUCGCAGCCUCCCCCUCCUCCCCCUCUUAAUGGGACGAUGCGACGUCCCGGAAGCGCGAAAAGGCGCGGGAGACAAAGACUCCCCUCUCGAAAGGAGGGCGAAAGAAAGAGGAGGAAGAAAAGCAACCCCUCCUCCUCCUCCUCCUUUUCCUCCUCCUUCCCUCUCUCCCUUCGUUUUUUCAUUCGCCAACUUCUCGAGGUGGCGAGAAAGAAACGAGCAAAGUAUCCUCCGCUUAACGCAGAGUCAACUCGCCGCGGUUUCUUAACGAGAAAGGAGGGGUCGAAUGGAGGAGGAGAGAUAGAAAGAGAGAGAGAGAGAAAAGGCGCGGAGGAUGGAGAGAGAGAGAGAGAGAGAGAGACGGGGAGGAAGUUGGCCGAGAGACAGACGGCCUAUUCAUCGAGCAGCUGCACCCCGGCCCGCGUUUCGCGAUAUUAAAGGGCGCCACGGGUCGACCUGUAUCGGCGCCCGUCGCGACGUCGGCGUCGUGGAUAUACGCGCCGUAAACCUGGCAUGUACACGGUGUCCGCGAAAUAAAUCCCCCGCAAUUCUUUCGUUUAAACGGAAAUUCAUCGCGAUAUCCGCCGAGUCGGAUGGAAGGAAUGGGAGGGUUGAAACCCCCUCGAGUAAACUUGGAUUAAUGUCAAUAAUAUUUUAUGUUUAUUCCGUGAUUGUUUCUAAUUCUAACGCGUUCUGAUUUUAUAAUUGAUUCUUUUUUUUUUAGAGUGGUUGUGUAAAGGAUUUUACGUUAUUUUAUCGAUUGGAUGGUUAAUUUAUUAUGUACCGUUCGUAUUGUGAUUUUUUAUUUAUAUGGAAAUGGAUUCGAAUCUUUUAUAUUGAAGAGGAUAUUUUUUUGAGUAUGUUUAAAUCUUGAUGGAAUAGAAAUUUUCGUGAAUUCUUCUUAAUUAUUCUUUUUGUUAUUCUAUAUCUAUCUUAUAUUCCCUGGAGCAUUCUUCAUAAUCAGUAAAAAAAAAAGACAGGAAAACAAGACAUCAGAGGGUUAAGACUGUAGAUUUGCUCGCAUGGCGACCAUUAUAAGAGGAGAAAUUAAAAUUAGUAAAAAAAAGAGGAAAACGAGACAUCGAAACGUUAAGACUGUAGAUUUGCUCGCAUGGCAUCGACCAUUACAAGAGGAGAAAUUCUUAAGAGGAAUAUAAAAUGAAAAUAUAGAGACAUUCGUAAAAAGAAACAAAUGUGAUUGAUAGAGCAUCGAGGGGGUGAAAUUGAAGAAGAAAAGGAAUGUAAAGGAAAUAUAUAUCAUGAUGAAUCAAAGGAUUCAAAGGUUUCGUCAAUUUUAUCAUUGAUCGUAUUUAUAGUUAAUUUAUCAGACGAUCGAUAGUGAUGGGUUUAAACUGCGCAAAAUUACUGUGGAAUUUUCUCGAAUACAUUCGAAUAACGAGAUACGGAAAUUUGCAAUUUAAUUGCAAAUUUAAUGUAUUUACAGUUAAUUUAUAAUGACAGGAAGUUUGGUAUUUGACUAUUUGCAUAAAUUCCACGAAUCCAAUCCCGCUGGCGUGGAAACGUUCGUUGUGGAAAUGAUCGUUUACGAUCGAGAUUUACAAUCGUUCGAAAACUUUUUCCUUAAUUUGCAACACCAGUAAACCUUUGUACAAGAAAUAUCAUUGAUGCUGUAUAAUCGUUGCGAAAUUAAUAUUCGAUUCAUCGGAAAAUUGUUCUCGAAAGGAUUUCGAGUUUCUGUAAUUUUGGUGAUUGAACGUUUGAUGCAUGGAAUGGUUAUUGGAGGUGAUGAGUUUUUUGACAUGGGAUAAAUUCAUUGCAAGUUUCGUUUUAUAAAUUGUACGCUACAAGUAUAUUGGCGUUGAAGAGAAAUAUUGAAAAUUCGGUAUCGACAUUGUUUGAUCGUUGUAAAAUUUAUACAUUAUUUUAUGCUUCUGGAAAACAAUAUUCAAAAUUAAAAAAAAAAAAAAGAAUAUAUAUAUAUAUUUGUAAUUUUAACGAUUGAAAAAUGGUUGAUUAGUUUCGAGCAGAUAUAUAUUUUUAUAGAAUUUCUAUGAAUAUGUUGUAUACGUAUUGCUAAUAAUAAGGUAUUGUAAAGGAAGUAUUGGAAGGAUCUGUUGGCAAAGCAGUUAUAUGAAACAGCCAUACCAAUUGAAUAUACAUGCAUAUAUGUAAAAAUGGUGUUAAAGCUAUCAUCUGACUAUUUUUUCCUUUUUUCAUGGACACCUUUGAAAAUAAAGAAAGGAAGAAAAUGUGUUUUCACAAUGGAAAAGUAUCGACCAAAUUUCCCUGACGAAAAAUAUUCCAAGCUUUUAAUUAUUUAACGUAACGAGAUGGAAGUGAAUUAAAAACUCUUUAAAAACAAAAAUACUGUGGAGAGUGAAAAAAGUAAAAAUAAUUAAAUAAAUAGAAAAAGUUAAUGGAAGAGGAACUUUUUAAUAUUAAAUUAGAAAUGUGAACGAGCUAAUUGUUUAGAAUUAGCGAAUAAAUAAUUUUUCAUUCGCAAAAUUCUGCGUCAAACUUAACAAAUUCUUGACAGAUAUUCCGCCAAGAAAUUGCAUGAAAAUAUAAUUUCGCCGGUUUCGCGGCACUGAGUCUGACUACAAACGAUUCAUUUCCCUUUACAGUGGUUAGAGUCGGUUACUUGCACGUAUUCUGCACUCUGUCUCCUCUAAAAUACCUACGUACGUUAUUCCGAGAAUCGUCAUUGAAUCAGAGAGUUUAUAAAAUUUCAUAUAAACAUCGUGCGCGAGUUUCAACGUUGCGCGAACAUUUGCUGGCAUAAAAACGAUUUUCUUUUUUUUUUCGCAUCGCGAAAACAAAAACUUUUUUCAGUGGGGAAAAUUUUGAAAGUAGAAAGAACAAUCGAUUGGGGAAUGAAAUGAAACGAAAGAAAGGAUAAAUUGAAACAGUUGAAUUUUUUUUUUAAAUUUAACCAUCAGAAUUACAACUAAUUUAAACAAAAGUUAAGAAAAGAAUUAAAUAAACAAUUUUGAAGAAAUUUAGAAAUAUUCUGUUCUGAGGAAUAAAAUAAAUGAUUUUAGAAAAAUCAGAUCAAAUAUUUUAAUGAGAAGUAAUAAUAAAAGACGAGCUUUCUUACUUUUGCUCGAGUAAAUAUUCCUACAUCGAGUAUGAAAUUUGCUUUUUCGAUAGAAAAUCGUAUUUUGGAAUAAAAACCAGGCCGAAAAUCAACAAUAGAACAUCGUCGAAAAUGGAAUGAAAAAUUCCAUUCGAUAUUUGCUCGAGAACGAAACUCGAGUCAAUGGAACAAAUAAUGGUCAAGGGAAAAAAAGUUAUAAUCGAUUAGCGAGAAGUCGAAGAUGAAGGACGAGCGACAAAGUUAAUUAAUGUGAGAGCUUUGAUCUUUAAGGGAAAAAAAAAUGGUUUAAUUUAAAUUCGAAUCCUUUAACGUGUAUCUUUUUCUCGUUAAAAUUCAUCAAAUCGAAAUCUCUAUAACAAAUGGCAACAAAUUUCUGAAUAUCAGAUUGGAAAUACUUGAAAUAAUAAUUGAUGUGUUUUAAUAAUUGUAUAAAUUUAUUUUGAUAUUUAAAAAAUUUGUUGGAAGAAAGUUAUAAGAUGAUUAAAUAAAUCAUUUGUUAGUUAGGCAUUUGUCCUCGAACAUUAAAAAGUUUCGACAUUACCAGCUUCUAAACUUGAAUCGUGGAUGGGAGAAGUUAAAGAGGAUUGAUAAAAUUUACGACACGUUUGUCAGGGAACUUAGCUUUUUGACGUAAGACAGAAAUAUCCAAGUUAAGCCUCGAGGCUUAAGAAGCUUCCUCCACUCCAUCAGGAUUAUGCAGGGGAGAGCGUCAAAAUGAUGAUAUAAAAGUUGAUCGAAUUUGUGAAUUGAAACACAUCCUCUCUUCUAAAUUUUCUUUGACACAAUAAUCUUAAUAUUAUAAUAGUAUCGGCGAAUUUAACCUCGAAUAAACCUUCCAUCUUUAUUUUUCUCUCUUUUCAAAAAAGAAUAACACUUUCGGAUUAAAGUUUUUUUUUUCGAACAAACUCAUAAUUUUAACAUCUCUCUUGUUGAACAUAACCUCAAAUGAACUUUAAAACUUCUGAUCCCUCUUUAUUUUUUUUCCUCCCCCCUCCAUUUAUUCUCAUGUCGAAAUUCUCUUAGCAAACCAAGCUCGAAACCACGAUUCAAAACGUCUCAACACCCUCGAAAUAUAACCUCGAAUAAAUCUUCCUGAGAUUAAACUUCUCAACGCAAGCCCGGUAUACAUCAUCAUUUUUCUCCCGUUAGUUUACAACAUCUCGUCCACGAGAAUGCAUGAAUAUUCAAAAGACGAGCACGUGGACACGUAUCUAUAAUAUAAUACAAAUAACUGGACGUCCCCUAAUGUUACACCGUAUUACGUAUCUACGUAUGCAUAAUAUGGUGCAGCCAUGAAACGGCGGCGCCAUUGUCUCUGCCGGGAUAAUGGGGCGGCCAUUGAGCGCGGGAUAAAUAAAUAAAUCCCUUGGCAAACGCACAUUUCACGAAUUCAUUAACUCGCAACGGUGAUGGUCGUUCGACCGUGCGAGAACAAAAGCGUGAAAAGGCGUGCAAACGCGAUAAGUCGCGUGUUCUCGACUAUCGUGAUCAAUGGCCCUUCCUCCCAUCCAAUUGGCGAAUGUCGUUGAUUCUUCCAUGAGAAUCGUUCCAUCCGAGAAUGGAAUAAAAUUCCAGAGAUAUCUCCUGUGCAUAUGCACUGAUAACGUUUAUUAUUCCGCGUUUGUUAAUCGAAAGAUUUCUCCUUUUCAAAUUGGAAAUUGAAGAAGUGUAUAUUAUUUAUUCUAAAUCUUUAUUUCAAUUAUUAUUUGUCGAUAAGAAUUCUUGAUUUAUUAUCGAUUCUGAUUCAAUUUUAUCUAUUUUGUUCUAAAGUUGAAUUAAGAAAAUUUGAGAUGAUAUCUCGCUCGUCGUUUAACGCCAGAAUUUGUGUGGUUUCUCAAUUAGAACUGGAGGAAUGUUGCACGCGAAUCUUGCAGAUGAAUAUUGUAGUCGAUGUAUUGUUUCUGAAACCAUUCUGGUUGCGUCAUUAAAAUUACGUGAAAUUUAUUACAACGCAAAAUCAAGAUUCUUCCAUCGAAAAGACGAAACUCUCGAAGAAGAAUUAAUUCAGUUAUGAAAUUUUAAAAAUUUCAAGAAAAACAAUUAUCGAUAUUUCCUCCGAAUAUUUAGCAUUUGAAUAAACAUCGAUGAUUUUAUUUUCAUCACGAAAACGAAAUUGCACGGAUACAAUAAUUUUAAUUUCGUUCCGUGUGAUCGAACCGCGUUUAUUCCUAUUGUUUUAUCGCGUUCAUGAAUUAUCGAUGGCCCAAUGAAAUUCGAUCUUUGUAUCCCGAUAUUUAUUUAUCAUUAUUAUCAGUUAUUUAUGAUUAUCGUUGCGCGUUUGUUAUUUCGAAGCCGUCUAUUAAUAAUUAAUUUGCGUACAGAAUAUUAGCAUACAUAAUUGAAUGGGAGCGUGAACGAAAUGGAAGUGGAAAAAAAAAAAAAUAGUACGAAGAAGAAAAUUUCUUUCUGGAAUAUCGUAAUUCCCCGUUUGGCAGAGUAACGAUGAUAUUAUUGCGACCGAUUCUUCUAUUUUCUAGGCGAGGAUAUAAUGCUUCCUGGCCGAAGUUCGGGAGAAUAUCACCGAGAUGAAGCUUGUUUAAGGAGAUAAUACUUUUAUAGAGUGAAUUCUUUUCCUCUUCGCGAGGAUGUACGAGAUAAUUCCCGAAAGAGGGUCGAUAUUGUAAUACUUUGUGUAACAUUAUUUUUGCAAAAGAGAUUUUAUUGCUCGUUUCGAAAGGAAUACAUUUAUUUUUUUUUAACUAUUUUGAUUAUUUUUGUAUAAUUAUAUAUAUAAAUUUUCUUUGGAAAGAAUUUAAUAAAAAAGAGAUUGGAUGAGUGAAGAUAAUGGAAUGAAGAUAAUUCGAUAAUUAAUUUUUUCUUGAAGUGUAUCAUCGAUAAUGGGUAAUUUUAUCGAUAUGCAAAAUGCAAGAACUUUCAUUUUGAGGAAUAACGAUAAUGGGGUGGUUAUUCAAUUUGACUGCAUUAUCUACUUCUACUAUCUUUUAACAGUUUUCCAUCAAGAAUUUUCAAAGAUUAUUAUAUUUCCCAUACUUUCAAUUAUUAUUUCCAUGUUUUAUUAUUAUUUUUUUCUUCCCUUAUUUUACGGCAUCAUCCUUAUUUCACAAUUUAACAUUUAACAGGAUUAAAUCUAAUUUAUUCAACGCAUCGAAAAUUCACUCUAAAGAGUAAGCUCGAAAAAAGUUAUCAAAAUAAAGUCCCUAGCCGUUCAAUACUCCCAUCCACGAACGUUCUCCCACGAACUCGAAUCGCGAAUAACACGACUAAAACCGAAUUCCACUGAACUCCAUAAAUCCUUCGUCGAUCUUAAACAACGAUCGAUCGCGAACCUUUCCCAAUCGCUAUUGAUACAAAUG
rnacentral:lncRNA from 1 species